rnacentral:rRNA from 1 species
GACGAACGCUGGCGGCGUGCUUAACACAUGCAAGUCGAGCGGUAAGGCCCUUUCGGGGUACGACGAGCGGCGAACGGGUGAGUAACACGUGGGUGACCUGCCCUCAGCUCUGGGAGUAAGCCUGGGAAACCGGGUCGUAAUACCGGAUAUGACUCCAUGACGCAUGUUGUGGGGUGGAAAGCCUUGUGCGGCUGAGGAUGGGCCCGCGGCCUAUCAGCUUGUUGGUGGGGUGAUGGCCUACCAAGGCGACGACGGGUAGCCGGCCUGAGAGGGCGACCGGCCACACUGGGACUGAGACACGGCCCAGACUCCUACGGGAGGCAGCAGGUGGGGAAUUUUCCGCAAUGGGCGAAAGCCUGACGGAGCAAUGCCG